GCAAGUCUGGUGCCAGCAGCCGCGGUAAUUCCAGCUCCAAUAGCGUAUAUUAAAGUUGUUGCAGUUAAAAAGCUCGUAGUCGGAUUUCGGGCUGGUCGUGCGGGUCUGCCGUUGGGUAUGUACUUGCGUCGUCCGGUCAGUAUGGCGUAGGUGCGUCGCCUCGUUGAUUCGUGUGCGUCGUUCUCUGCGCCCGUUUACUUUGAGAAAAUCAGAGUGUUCAAAGCAGGCCUUUGCCAUUGUAUGUGUUAGCAUGGGAUAAUGGAAUAGGACCUUGGUGCUAUUUUGUUGGUUUCGAACGCCGAGGUAAUGAUGAAUAGGGACAGUCAGGGGCACUCGUAUUCCGUAGAGAGAGGUGAAAUUCUUAGACCCACGGAAGACGCACUACUGCGAAAGCAUUUGCCAGGGAUGUUUUCACUGAUCAAGAACGAAAGUUAGGGGAUCGAAGAUGAUCAGAUACCGUCGUAGUCUUAACCAUAAACCAUGCCGACCAGGGAUUGGUGGUUGUCAUCUUUGACAUCAUCAGCACCUUUCGAGAAAUCAGAGUCUUUGGGUUCCGGGGGGAGUAUGGUCGCAAGGCUGAAACUUAAAGGAAUUGACGGAAGGGCACCACCAGGCGUGGAGCCUGCGGCUUAAUUUGACUCAACACGGGGAAACUUACCAGGUCCAGACAUUGUGAGGAUUGACAGAUUGAGAGCUCUUUCUUGAUUCAAUGGGUGGUGGUGCAUGGCCGU
rnacentral:rRNA from 1 species